GGGGUGAUGGUGUAAUUGGUUAUCACGUAUGUCUUGCACACAUAAGACUGUCGGUUCGAGUCCGAUUCAUUCCA
rnacentral:tRNA from 1 species